rnacentral:rRNA from 1 species
AGAGUUUGAUCAUGGCUCAGGAUGAACGCUGGCGACGUGGAUAAGGCAUGCAAGUCGAACGGACUUUAUUUUUCUGAUGAUGCGAUUAUAUCAAGUCAAAAGUCGUUUAAAGUUAGUGGCGAACGAGGUAGUAAUACAUAGGAACUUCCCCCUAAGUCGCGAACAACGCACCGAAAGGUGAGCUAAUACACGAUAGUCUCUCCGGAGUAAAGUUUUUCGCUUAGGGAAAGGCCUGUGAAGUAUCAGCUAGUUGGCGGUGUAAAGGACCACCAAGGCUAUGACGCUUAGGGGAGCUGAGAGGCUGACCCCCACCGAUGGGACUGAGACACGGCCCAUACACCUACGGGUGGCUGCAGUCGAGAAUCUUCCGCAAUGGACGAAAGUCUGACGGAGCGACGCCGCGUGAUUGAUGAAAUUCUUACGAAUGUAAAGAUCUUUUAUGAGGGAAGAAGUUUAUUGACGGUACCUCAUGAAUAAGGGGCUCCUAAUCUCGUGCCAGCAGGAGCGGUAAUACGAGAGCCCCGAGCGUUAUCCGGAAUUAUUGGGCGUAAAGGGUGCGUAGGUGGUUGUAUUAGUCGUUUGUCAAAUCUUCAGGCUUAACCUGAAAUCCGUGAACGAAACGGUACAACUAGAGAAUGCGAGAGGUGUACAGAACUUAUGGUGUAGGGGUGAAAUCCGUUGAUAUCAUAGGGAAUACCAAAAGCGAAGGCAGUACACUGGCGCAUAUCUGACAUUCAAGCACGAAAGCGUGGGUAGCGAAUGGGAUUAGAUACCCCAGUAGUCCACGCCCUA